rnacentral:rRNA from 1 species
CCUACGGGUGGCAGCAGUGGGGAAUAUUGGGCAAUGGGCGCAAGCCUGACCCAGCAACGCCGCGUGAAGGAAGACGGCUCUCGGGUUGUAAACUCCCUUUAAGAGGGAAGAGAAGAAGACGGUACCUCUUGAAUAAGCCACGGCUAACUACGUGCCAGCAGCCGCGGUAAUACGUAGGUGGCAAGCGUUGUCCGGAUUUACUGGGUGUAAAGGGCGUGUAGCCGGGCUGACAAGUCAGUUGUGAAAUUCCGGGGCCCAACCCCGGACCUGCAGUUGAAACUGUUGGUCUUGAGUAUCGGAGAGGCAGGCGGAAUGCGUAGUGUAGCGGUGAAAUGCGUAGAUAUUAGGAGGAACACCAGUGGCGAAGGCGGCCUGCUGGACGACAACUGACGGUGAGGCGCGAAAGCGUGGGGAGCGAACAGGAUUAGAUAUCCGAGUAGUC